ensembl:lncRNA LINC02981 long intergenic non-protein coding RNA 2981
GCACCGCAUCGCCGCUUUGCCCCGCGACCGCGCGCGCCUCCUCGUCCUCCCCCGCGCCUUUGUUUCCGUCUCCUUCUCCUUUCCCUCCUCUUUUGUGUCGGGCCAGACUCAGCCCCAGAAACCAGCCACCCUGCCGCGUCCGACUGCCAGGGAUCCCUCACGCCGCGAGGUGGAGUCUCGCUCUGUCGCCCAGGCUGGAGUACAGUGGUGCGAUCUUGGCUCCCUGCAACUUCUGCCUCCCAGGUUCAAGCGAUUUUCCUGCCUCAGCUUCCUGAGUAGCUGGGACUACAGUACCAGAGAUGUCUCCAAGAGCACCAGCAACCCCAGCUAUCUGGAUCUGAAGUGGAUAUGCUCAGAGACAUCCUGGCCCACCCCAAAGAAGAUGCUGCUGCACUCAGAAGACGCCAGAGCUAGCCACCACCCACACUGCAAGUCUGGAAGCUCUGCAAGGACCCAGCAAGGCAGCCUGCUCAGCGAAGGCUUUGUCUCCUGUGGCAGGAAGAGCAACAUUAAGAACAAGAACCCCGGGCUGGACUACCCCUGAGAUUUAAUGACCAGAGCUGAGACCCCCAAGACCACAAUGACUAUGGAGGGCUGUCAUUACCCUGCCUGACCCUCUAAUGCCUCUCAGUUCAAGGAGGCCACUGAGUGAAACUGAAGGCUGGUUUUCCUUGGAAGCCAGCGGCCCAUCCACCUGCUCCACUUCCCUGCCUCUUGCAGCCUCCGCUCAAACACUGUCGUGGCUUGGCAGCACUACAAGGCAGAGUGAAAACAGAUACUUCUACCCACAUUCCUAUCUCCUCUCAUUUACGCAGAUUAAAUGCUUUCUUUCCUUGUUUUACACUGCUAGGAUUUUCAUCACCCUGUUUUUUCUUUCUCUACAUCAGCUACAAGAAAAAAAAAAGGAGUUACUGAGCAACUAAGAAGUCACAACUGUUUUCAGUUUUAUUAAUGAGUUGUUAUACUUAUUUUAUAGAUAGAGAAUUACCAUUAUAACAUUGCUCCAUUGCCCACUCAUCCAUUCACGCAUCUGUCCAUCCGUCCAUCCACCCAUUUGUCCACUCCCCAAAUGGUCAUCAAUUGUCUACUGUGAGCCAAGCAAAGUGCUCCUUACUUUGGACUCUGAAUCCAGUGCUCUUUCUACUUCACCAUAGACACAUGCCCCUUGAGUAUAAGGGAGCUUGAUUCAUUCAACAAAUAUCUGUUGUCCAUCUCCAAUGUACUGGCAUAUUCUAAAUGCAUCCAACAAAAACCAAAAUGAAAAAAAAGAAAAA